rnacentral:lncRNA from 1 species
CAACUAGAUCUCCAGAAUGAACACUAAGGUCCUCUUCUUGCUCGGUGUGGUAGCUGUGGCUGCUGCAGAUAAACUACCAACCUACUCCUAUAACGCCCCACAGGGAUCUUUCGAGGACUCCGUGGAGUAUGAUGAUGCCAAGUAUGACUUCAACUGGGCUGUGAAGGACGAGUAUUCCGGUAACGACUUCGUAGCAGA